AUGCGCUGGGAGCGUUCGAGGCUCCGCGGCCGCUCACAUCUGGCCGGGAUUUGCUCCUUACACGUCUGUCCCGCUUUCUUCGGCUCUUCCUCUACUUUCGAGAAACCGCGUUUCCGCUUCUGGCCAAAGAAACCUCCGAGUCCAGGCGAUCCAGGUGCCGGGAAGGGGUCGGCUGUUGCCUGCACCACCUCCCCUCCCACCCACCCCCUCCCCCGCAAACUUUCGGGGCCCUCUGUUCCGGAGGACUUUUUUUUUUUUUCUUUCCUGCUUGCUCUCUCCUUCGACAAGUCUGGUCUUCCCUCGACCUGGCCGGGAGGAGGCUCCGCCGCUGGGAGAUGCUGUAAGAGAGGCCGCGGGGAGAACGCGGGCGGCCAGCUCGCUCCCGGACGCCGGUGGUUGGCGCAGGGCUCGGCGGGAAGAUGGGCUCCCGCGGGCUGAGACUCGCGCUGGCGUGCUGUCUGCUGCUGGCCUUCGCCUGUGGUCUGGUGCUGGGCCGAGUGCCCCAUGGGCAGCAGGAACAGCAGGAGCACGUGACUCCUGACUCCACAGGCGUGUAAACCCCAUGGCUGGCCAGGUUAGCCAGGGUGGUAACUGACAGUGAGAAACAGGUGAGAUGUUGUGUCUGUUUUAAGCUCAAGCACUGCCCCCUAGUGGGCUCACUGAGAACCACCCCAGUGGUCAGCUCUUUCUAGAAGGACUGUCUCAAUCCUGGACGAAGAGGGUCCUGUCCAGAGCUUUUUGGAGAGACAUGGAGCUGGCUUCAGUGACAAUAAGUGCCCUCUGGGGCUGGGCAGACUCGCCCCCCACCCCCACAUCAGAUGCUCAAGGACACUUACUGGUGGGCCACCUGGUGGCCAGAGAGCAACUUGACACCUUCCUGCACACCCCCCACGGUGCUGGCUGGGGCAGACUCACUGCACAGUGGACCCCCAAAUUCAUUCCAGAUUUUGCUCAUUGUCCUAACACGGUCAAGACACAAUCAUCUUCAGAGCUCAGGGUUGAGGGGUCUCCUUCCUGGGAGGCAUGGGGGUGCUCGGCAGAGCUCAGCGGCCACAGGCAGCCGGGUGCUCCAGGGUGGAAUGUGCGAGUCUGUGCAUAUUAAGUUUGUGAGUGUGCUGAGAGAGUGCAUGUUGGGGGUGGGCAUGCAUGUGUGCCUGAGUGUGCACACAUGUGAGUGCAUGGGAGUAUACACGAGUGUGUUGAGUGUGCAAGUAUGAACACAAGAGUAUGGAUUUGAGUGUGUUUAAGUGUACUGUCUUGAGUGUGUGUGGAGUGUAUUUGUGCAUGAGUGCGUAUUGUCUGUGUGAGAGGGUGUGAGUACGUGUGUGUGGGCCCGUGUGUAUGUGCAUGAACAUGCACUGGGGUUUGUGUGUGUGUGUGGGAGUGUGUAGCUAGGUAUGUGAAUGUGUUGAGUGUGUGAGUGUAUGAUCACCCUCCCAGGAGGAGCGGCAGCGAAGCACCUCCCAGAG
rnacentral:lncRNA from 1 species